rnacentral:rRNA from 1 species
GUGCAGCAGGCGCGAAACCUCCGCAAUACACGAAAGUGUGACGGGGCCAUCCCGAGUGCCGUCCGCUGAGGACGGCUUUUCCCCAGUGUACAUAGCUGGGGGAAUAAGGAGAGGGCAAGCCUGGUGUCAGCCGCCGCGGUAAUACCAGCUCUCCGAGUGGUGGGGACGCUUAUUGGGCCUAAAGCAUCCGUAGCCGGCUAGGCAAGUCCUCCGUUAAAUCCAACGAUUCAAUCGUUGGCUGCGGGGGAUACUGUCCAGCUUGGGGGCGGGAGAGGCCGACGGUAUUCCCGGGGUAGGGGUGAAAUCCUAUAAUCCCGGGAGGACCACCAGUGGCGAAGGCUGUCGGCUAGAACGCGCCCGACGGUGAGGGAUGAAAGCUGGGGGAGCGAACCGGAUUAAUACCCCGGUAGU